rnacentral:rRNA from 1 species
UCUYAAAGAUUAAGCCAUGCACGUCUUAGUACAUACCGUUUUAAGGUGAAACCGCGAAUGGCUCAUUAAAUCAGUUACGGUUCAUUGGCUACUACAAUCCUACAUGGAUAACUGUGGUAAUUCUAGAGCUAAUACAUGCAACAAGUCCCCGACUCUUUGCUAGAAGGGGCGCAUUUAUUAUGCCAAGACCAAUGGCGCCCUUGUGGUGUCUUGUUAUGGCGACUCUGAAUAACUGAGCAGAUCGCACGGCCUAUGAGCUGGCGAUAUAGCCUUCAAGCGUCUGCCUUAUCAACUGUCGAUGGUAGGUUAUGUGCCUACCAUGGUUGUAACGGGUGACGGGGAAUCAGGGUUCGAUUCCGGAGAGGGAGCCUGAGAAACGGCUACCACAUCCAAGGAAGGCAGCAGGCACGCAAAUUACCCACUCCCGGCACGGGGAGGUAGUGACAAAAAAUAACAAUACGGGACUCUAUUGAGGCCCCGUAAUUGGAAUGAGAACAAUAUAAAUCCUUUAUCGAGGAUCUAUUGGAGGGCAAGUCUGGUGCCAGCAGCCGCGGUAAUUCCAGCUCCAAUAGCGUAUAUAAAAGUUGUUGCGGUUAAAAAGCUCGUAGUUGAAUUUCAGCGCGUGCUUUAUGGUCCACUUAUAUGUGGCUACUGUUUUGCCGCGCAAACUGCGGAUUACUGUUUAGUAAUGGCCUUAACCGGCUGUUUCUAGCGGUCCGUAACUUUACUUUGAACAAAUUAGAGUGCUCAAAGCAGGCUGUUUACUGCCUGAAUAUUUCUUGCAUGGAGUAAUGGAAUAGGACAUUGGUUCUAUUUUGUUGGUCUUAAGAACCAAAUGUAAUGAUUAAGAGGGACAGACGGGGGCAUUAGUAUUGCGGCGCUAGAGGUGAAAUUCUUGGACCGUCGCAAGACUAACUACAGCGAAAGCAUUUGCCAAGAAUGUUUUCAUUAAUCAAGAACGAAAGUUAGAGGUUCGAAGGCGAUCAGAUACCGCCCUAGUUCUAACCAUAAACGAUGCCAACCAGCGAUCAGCCGGUGUUCUUUUAAUGACUCGGCUGGAAGCUUCCGGGAAACCAAAGUCUUUGGGUUCCGGGGGAAGUAUGGUUGCAAAGCUGAAACUUAAAGGAAUUGACGGAAGGGCACCACCAGGAGUGGAGCCUGCGGCUUAAUUUGACUCAACACGGGAAAACUCACCCGGCCCGGACAUUGAAAGGAUUGACAGAUUGAGAGCUCUUUCUUGAUUCAAUGGGUGGUGGUGCAUGGCCGUUCUUAGUUGGUGGAGUGAUUUGUCUGGUUAAUUCCGAUAACGAACGAGACUCCAGCCUACUAAAUAGACCUUGCGUUCAUUUAUUUGCGCGCAAGGGACUUCUUAGAGGAACAGGCGGCGUUUCAGCCGCACGAAACGGAGCAAUAACAGGUCUGUGAUGCCCCUAGAUGUCCGGUGCUGCACGCGCGCUACAAUGAAACGAUCAGCGUGCUAGUUUACUCUGCUCCGAGAGGAGUGGGUAACCCGCUGAACCCGUUUCGUGAUGGGGACUGGGCAUUGUAAUUAUUGCCCACAAACGAGGAAUUCCCAGUAAGCGCGAGUCAUAAGCUUGCGUUGAUUACGUCCCUGCCCUUUGUACACACCGCCCGUCGCUACUACCGAUUGAAUGAUUUAAUGAGGUCUUCGGACCGGCGCUAAUCGGCCACGUAAGUGGUCGUGAUGUGCUGGAAAGAUGAUCAAAUUUGAUCAUUUAGAGGAAGUAAAAGUCGUAA